rnacentral:rRNA from 1 species
UACGUAGGGUGCAAGCGUUUGUCCGGAAUUAUUGGGCGUAAAGAGCUCGUAGGCGGUUUGUCGCGUCUGCUGUGAAAACUCGGGGCUUAACCCCGGGCCUGCAGUGGGUACGGGCAGACUAGAGUGCGGUAGGGGAGACUGGAAUUCCUGGUGUAGCGGUGAAAUGCGCAGAUAUCAGGAGGAACACCGGAGGCGAAGGCGGCUCACUGGGGAUUUUCUGACGCUGAGGAACGAAAGCCAGGGGAGCGAACGGG